CGGGGCGUGGGAGACAGGUGGUGCAUGGUUGUCGUCAGCUCGUGUCGUGAGAUGUUGGGUUAAGUCCCGCAACGAGCGCAACCCCUAUCCUUAGUAGCCAGCGGAGAAGCCGGGCACUCUAGGGAGACUGCCGGGGACAACCCGGAGGAAGGCGGGGACGACGUCAAAUCAUCAUGCCCCUUAUGGCCGGGGCUACACACGUGCUACAAUGGCGCAGACAGAGGGAGGCGAGGCGGCGACGCGGAGCGAAUCCCAAAAAAAGCGUCCCAGUUCGGAUUGCAGCCUGCAACUCGGCUGCAUGAAGCCGGAAUCGCUAGUAAUCGCGGAUCAGAACGCCGCGGUGAAUACGUUCCCGGGUCUUGUACACACCGCCCGUCACACCAUGGGAGCGGGUAAUGCCCGAAGUCGGUGACCCAACCGGAAGGGGGGAGCCGCCGAAGGCAGGAUCCGUGACUGGGGUGAAGUCGUAACAAGGUAGCCGU
rnacentral:rRNA from 1 species